rnacentral:tRNA from 1 species
AGAAUAGAAAUUUUUCUAAAAGAAGCUGCUAACUAUCUUUUAUAAACGAAUAAUAAUCGUUUUUCUCUUC